rnacentral:rRNA from 1 species
GGGUUGUGAGGUUAAGCGACUAAGCGUACACGGUGGAUGCCCUGGCAGUCAGAGGCGAUGAAGGACGUGCUAAUCUGCGAUAAGCGUCGGUAAGGUGAUAUGAACCGUUAUAACCGGCGAUUUCCGAAUGGGGAAACCCAGUGUGAUUCGUCACACUAUCAUUAACUGAAUCCAUAGGUUAAUGAGGCGAACCGGGGGAACUGAAACAUCUAAGUACCCCGAGGAAAAGAAAUCAACCGAGAUUCCCCCAGUAGCGGCGAGCGAACGGGGAGGAGCCCAGAGCCUGAAUCAGUGUGUGUGUUAGUGGAAGCGUCUGGAAAGGCGCGCGAUACAGGGUGACAGCCCCGUACACAAAAAUGCACAUGCUGUGAGCUCGAUGAGUAGGGCGGGACACGUGGUAUCCUGUCUGAAUAUGGGGGGACCAUCCUCCAAGGCUAAAUACUCCUGACUGACCGAUAGUGAACCAGUACCGUGAGGGAAAGGCGAAAAGAACCCCGGCGAGGGGAGUGAAAAAGAACCUGAAACCGUGUACGUACAAGCAGUGGGAGCACGCUUCGGCGUGUGACUGCGUACCUUUUGUAUAAUGGGUCAGCGACUUAUAUUCUGUAGCAAGGUUAACCGAAUAGGGGAGCCGAAGGGAAACCGAGUCUUAACUGGGCGUUAAGUUGCAGGGUAUAGACCCGAAACCCGGUGAUCUAGCCAUGGGCAGGUUGAAGGUUGGGUAACACUAACUGGAGGACCGAACCGACUAAUGUUGAAAAAUUAGCGGAUGACUUGUGGCUGGGGGUGAAAGGCCAAUCAAACCGGGAGAUAGCUGGUUCUCCCCGAAAGCUAUUUAGGUAGCGCCUCGUGAUUCAUCUCCGGGGGUAGAGCACUGUUUCGGCAAGGGGGUCAUCCCGACUUACCAACCCGAUGCAAACUGCGAAUACCGGAGAAUGUUAUCACGGGAGACACACGGCGGGUGCUAACGUCCGUCGUGAAGAGGGAAACAACCCAGACCGCCAGCUAAGGUCCCAAAGUCAUGGUUAAGUGGGAAACGAUGUGGGAAGGCCCAGACAGCCAGGAUGUUGGCUUAGAAGCAGCCAUCAUUUAAAGAAAGCGUAAUAGCUCACUGGUCGAGUCGGCCUGCGCGGAAGAUGUAACGGGGCUAAACCAUGCACCGAAGCUGCGGCAGCGACACUAUGUGUUGUUGGGUAGGGGAGCGUUCUGUAAGCCUGCGAAGGUGGCCUGUGAGGGUUGCUGGAGGUAUCAGAAGUGCGAAUGCUGACAUAAGUAACGAUAAAGCGGGUGAAAAGCCCGCUCGCCGGAAGACCAAGGGUUCCUGUCCAACGUUAAUCGGGGCAGGGUGAGUCGACCCCUAAGGCGAGGCCGAAAGGCGUAGUCGAUGGGAAACAGGUUAAUAUUCCUGUACUUGGUGUUACUGCGAAGGGGGGACGGAGAAGGCUAUGUUGGCCGGGCGACGGUUGUCCCGGUUUAAGCGUGUAGGCUGGUUUUCCAGGCAAAUCCGGAAAAUCAAGGCUGAGGCGUGAUGACGAGGCACUACGGUGCUGAAGCAACAAAUGCCCUGCUUCCAGGAAAAGCCUCUAAGCAUCAGGUAACAUCAAAUCGUACCCCAAACCGACACAGGUGGUCAGGUAGAGAAUACCAAGGCGCUUGAGAGAACUCGGGUGAAGGAACUAGGCAAAAUGGUGCCGUAACUUCGGGAGAAGGCACGCUGAUAUGUAGGUGAAGCGACUUGCUCGUGGAGCUGAAAUCAGUCGAAGAUACCAGCUGGCUGCAACUGUUUAUUAAAAACACAGCACUGUGCAAACACGAAAGUGGACGUAUACGGUGUGACGCCUGCCCGGUGCCGGAAGGUUAAUUGAUGGGGUCAGCGGUAACGCGAAGCUCUUGAUCGAAGCCCCGGUAAACGGCGGCCGUAACUAUAACGGUCCUAAGGUAGCGAAAUUCCUUGUCGGGUAAGUUCCGACCUGCACGAAUGGCGUAAUGAUGGCCAGGCUGUCUCCACCCGAGACUCAGUGAAAUUGAACUCGCUGUGAAGAUGCAGUGUACCCGCGGCAAGACGGAAAGACCCCGUGAACCUUUACUAUAGCUUGACACUGAACAUUGAGCCUUGAUGUGUAGGAUAGGUGGGAGGCUUUGAAGUGUGGACGCCAGUCUGCAUGGAGCCGACCUUGAAAUACCACCCUUUAAUGUUUGAUGUUCUAACGUUGGCCCCUGAUCGGGGUUGCGGACAGUGUCUGGUGGGUAGUUUGACUGGGGCGGUCUCCUCCUAAAGAGUAACGGAGGAGCACGAAGGUUGGCUAAUCCUGGUCGGACAUCAGGAGGUUAGUGCAAUGGCAUAAGCCAGCUUGACUGCGAGCGUGACGGCGCGAGCAGGUGCGAAAGCAGGUCAUAGUGAUCCGGUGGUUCUGAAUGGAAGGGCCAUCGCUCAACGGAUAAAAGGUACUCCGGGGAUAACAGGCUGAUACCGCCCAAGAGUUCAUAUCGACGGCGGUGUUUGGCACCUCGAUGUCGGCUCAUCACAUCCUGGGGCUGAAGUAGGUCCCAAGGGUAUGGCUGUUCGCCAUUUAAAGUGGUACGCGAGCUGGGUUUAGAACGUCGUGAGACAGUUCGGUCCCUAUCUGCCGUGGGCGCUGGAGAACUGAGGGGGGCUGCUCCUAGUACGAGAGGACCGGAGUGGACGCAUCACUGGUGUUCGGGUUGUCAUGCCAAUGGCACUGCCCGGUAGCUAAAUGCGGAAGAGAUAAGUGCUGAAAGCAUCUAAGCACGAAACUUGCCCCGAGAUGAGUUCUCCCUGACUCCCUGAGAGUCCUGAAGGAACGUUGAAGACGACGACGUUGAUAGGCCGGGUGUGUAAGCGCAGCGAUGCGUUGAGCUAACCGGUACUAAUGAACCGUGAGGCUUAACCUUACAACGCCGAAGGUGUUU